UCAGAGGUGGAGAAAGUCAUAAGAAUCAGGGAGCCUGCCCCAAAUUGCCUCCUAUGAUAACUUUCCACAAAGACUGGAGGGGAGGCUUCAAACAUCUUCCUGCAGUGUCCAGCAAGACAGCGAGGCAGACUCCCUUUCUCCUGCCAAAGCCACGUGGAGCCAGACAGAACCACAAGCAUACCUGUGGUGCUUGGAGGCCCAAGUAGAAACUUGAAUGCUCACGGCUGCAUUGGCAGCUUCUACUUGCCUGCCUGGAUCACCGUUCCUCAUGAGAACUUGGAAAAGCAGGACUAUCAUUCUUGCUUGACAGACGAAGAAACCAAGCCUCAGUUUUGUAGGCUCCUACCAGUGAAAGCCUCCUCACAACUCUCUUCUUCUCCCCAAGGACUGCGUGCAAUUCUACUUGGAGAUCUUCAUAACACCUUAAGGGAAAAAUCCUUUUUGAAAGAAAAACAAGUCUGGGUGGUGCUUGAAAAUUCAGAAGGCAGCUAGAAACUCUGCCAAUUACAACUGGUGAUUGCUGAGUUCUGGAGACAGACUGGGCUUCUGCUUUCUUUUGGUGGAGGUGUCUGCUUGCAGAAAAUUUAUGUUCUGGGAUUUACAACUUCAGGGAGACAAAGGAAACUCCAGCUCAUCUCCCACAUCAUUGAUUGAGAGGACCAUUUUCUGACUGUCUGCACACGCAGCAUGAUACAGGACGUACUUCUCCAUUUACAACACCCGGUGGGCUUCAUGCUGGUAUUUUGGGACUAAAUUCCCCUUUCAGGUUUCCUAUACUACCCUUUAAUGCAACAAUGGGAUGAAGAGAUGAAGACUUCUAGCAGGCUACCUCAGAAAGGUUGCUGACCAAAGGCUGUAUGGACCAAAAAGUCAUAACACCACCCUGGAUGAAAGGACAUUUACCUAAGGAAUUACCCGCUCUCAAUUCUUCCCAGGUGCAUGUAGUAUAGAUUAAAUAAGGUGGUUGUAUGGCAACAGAGACAUUAUUAGAAACAUUCUUCUUGAAGUUUGACAACAAAGCAGUAGAUGUGUAUCUACUACAGAGUUGUUAGUGAAAAAAGGUAUGUUUGAAGUAAUCAAUUGGUAUUCAUUUUAAACAGUAAUGGUCUUACUGAAGCUAAGUUUAAUACAUGCUGUGUUUGGAAGUAAUUUCUUUACCACUGUGUAGAAACCUUCACAGCUGUUCUUUUUUUGUUGUUGUGUUGUUGACAUUCAGUAGCAAAUUACAAGAAUCUCUGAUGAAAACUCCUUACAGCUAGAUGUGUUCUUAUUUUUGAAUUCAGACUCAGUGUCAAUGAUCUCACUACUCUAUCUCCAAUUUUCCCAAAUACAUGGGUAAAUUGUAAGUGGAAGCUAAUUUAUCUUCAAAAAUUUGAAGGGCAGGAUAGACACUGUCUAGUUUGGAAAUAUUAAGAAUAUAAUUCU
rnacentral:lncRNA from 1 species